AAGGUCUGAGAUAAAAGUUAAGGAGGAGACUGGCAUUGUACUGCUAGUUGGAAGACACAUAGUUGAUCUGUAUAACGUCUGACACGGGCUCAUUCUGAAUUUGGACAGGUUUGGGCUUCUUGUUCUUCUGGCUGCUACAUGGAAAGAAAUAGCAGGAAAAUCAAAUGAUAAACUAUGAGGACAGAGUCACUGGGUGAAGAGGACAACUCUAGCAGAUAUCAGAACAUGCAUUACUAACGUGACAUUUGCUCCAAAGCAUAUGGGACUGUUGUAGCAACCUGCUCAGCAGAUGGUAGAGUAAGAAAAUGUGAGGCACCAGAUGUUAUGAAUCUCAGCCAGUGGUCUCUGUAGAAUGAGAUCUCAUGUUGUAAGUUGAGCCUGUAGCUAUAUUUCUUGGAACAUUUCCAACUCCAUGAUAGCUAUGAGGGGUGAUAACAGUAGUCCAAAUGCAACAGCCAAGGUUCAGAGUUCUAUUACAAUGAAACAUGCAAAGCUGAAACUCUUAUGACAGUCUUUGAUCGUGUUCAUGAUAGUAUACUUGCUCCAAAUUCGGAAAGAUCUUCCCACAUUCUGGCAACAGCAAACCAACAUAUAAGAAUUUUAAGAUUAAAACUUGUGAGGAGAGAACUUACUUCCUUCUGGUGGUCCAACAAAAUUUGAAAUUCAUACUGUGGCUCAGUUUGAUAACCAUACUUCUCAGGUCUAGCAGGUAAGUCGGAGCUUAACAGAAACAAUGCUAGCAUCUUCAGCUGUGUAAGGUUGUGGGAAGGUAAUUACAUGGCCAAUUAGAAGUGUACUGGUAUUCUGAAAGGUGACAGGAGUGCAGCAAAUGGGAGUUCUCAGCUGGGAAACUCAUAUCCUUCACUAAGCUCAAAUAUUCAUCAAAGCUUCAAAACUCAUUAAACAGAUCUUCUGCUGGCUCAAGGCACAGCUGA
rnacentral:lncRNA from 1 species